UGGGGAAUUUUGGACAAUGGGCGAAAGCCUGAUCCAGCAAUGCCGCGUGUGUGAAGAAGGCCUUCGGGUUGUAAAGCACUUUUGUCCGGAAAGAAAUCCUUGGCUCUAAUACAGUCGGGGGAUGACGGUACCGGAAGAAUAAGCACCGGCUAACUACGUGCCAGCAGCCGCGGUAAUACGUAGGGUGCAAGCGUUAAUCGGAAUUACUGGGCGUAAAGCGUGCGCAGGCGGUUUGCUAAGACCGAUGUGAAAUCCCCGGGCUCAACCUGGGAACUGCAUUGGUGACUGGCAGGCUAGAGUAUGGCAGAGGGGGGUAGAAUUCCACGUGUAGCAGUGAAAUGCGUAGAGAUGUGGAGGAAUACCGAUGGCGAAGGCAGCCCCCUGGGCCAAUACUGACGCUCAUGCACGAAAGCGUGGGGAGCAAAACAGGAUUAGAUACCCUGGUAGUCCACGCCCUAAAACGAUGUCAACUAGUUGUUGGGGAUUCAUUUCCUUAGUAACGUAGCUAACGCGUGAAGUUGACCGCCUGGGGAGUACGGUCGCAAGAUU
rnacentral:rRNA from 1 species